GCAUGAUCUGAUUCUACUAUUACUUUUUCACAUUUAAUUGGGGUCAAAAAAACUUUCAAGCAAGUUAUUUAGUUUAGUUUUCAAAAUAAUUAGCAUAAAUAAGAUUAUUUUCAUAAUUCAUACCAGACAACCUAUUAUUGUCUUAUAAUCUAUUACUUUAUCUCUUGGCAAAAGAAAAGAGUGUUUUGCCUCAUGUUUAUUUUGCUUUGAUACUACAUCUUGCUCUGAUACAUUCUCAAUAUGAUAUCA
rnacentral:lncRNA from 1 species